rnacentral:rRNA from 1 species
CCCUACGGGGUGCACCAGGCAAAGGUGGGCAACAACAUUUGGGAAAACCGGUUUUCAAUACUGUUGCUGACGCGGUUGAAAAGACUAAAGCUAAUGUUUCAGUAAUAUUUGUGCCGCCUGCAUUUGCUGCCGAUGCUAUUACCGAAGCUGCUGAAGCAGGUAUCGCAGUUAUCGUUUGUAUUACUGAAGGUAUUCCUGUAAAAGAUAUGGUUUCUGUUAAAGAAUAUAUUUCUAAGAAAAAUUGUACCUUGAUUGGUCCUAAUUGCCCGGGAAUCAUAACUACGGGUGAAGCAAAAAUUGGGAUUAUGCCCGGAUUUAUUCAUAAACCCGGUACCAUCGGAAUCAUUUCGCGUUCAGGAACGCUGGCUUAUGAAGCAGUUGACCAGGUUACCAAAGUUGGGUUGGGACAAUCAACCGGAAUUGGAAUUGGCGGGGGGC